rnacentral:tRNA from 1 species
AGCACUAUACUUUAAUAUAAAAGACCUGAUUUGCAUUCAGAAAUUGAAGACUGCUUCUAGUGCUC